UCCGGGUGUGGUGUAGCUUGGCAGCACUCCUGUUUUGGGAACAGGCGGUCGUAGGUUCAAAUCCUACCACUCGGAU
rnacentral:tRNA from 1 species